GAUCAUGGCUCAGGACGAACGCUGGCGGCGUGCUUAACACAUGCAAGUCGAACGGUAAGGCCCUUCGGGGUACACGAGUGGCGAACGGGUGAGUAACACGUGGGUGAUCUGCCCUGCACUUCGGGGUAAGCCUGGGAAACUGGGUCUAAUACCGGAUAGGACCAUGGACUUCACGGUUUGUGGUGGAAAGCUUUUGCGGUGUGGGAUGGGCCCGCGGCCUAUCAGCUUGUUGGUGGGGUAAUGGCCUACCAAGGCGACGACGGGUAGCCGGCCUGAGAGGGUGUCCGGCCACACUGGGACUGAGAUACGGCCCAGACUCCUACGGGAGGCAGCAGUGGGGAAUAUUGCACAAUGGGCGCAAGCCUGAUGCAGCGACGCCGCGUGAGGGAUGACGGCCUUCGGGUUGUAAACCUCUUUCAAUAGGGACGAAGCGCAAGUGACGGUACCUAUAGAAGAAGCACCGGCCAACUACGUG
rnacentral:rRNA from 1 species